AAGCACAGUGUCAGGAAAAGCCUUUCUGGGGAAGGCGGGUGUUAAGAGUUUGGAGUUUCGUUGAGAUGCGCCUGUUGCCACCAGAUAAGAGCUGUGCCCUCAGGGCACGUCAGCCCCUAAGAGUUUGAGUUUGAGGUGAUUGUAGUGGUUGUGAGGAUUAAAUGUGAGGACAUCAAUUGUAUUGAGCAUUAGCAUAGGCGCUUUUGCUAAUUUUGUUUCCAUUGUAAUUCGUAUGCAUACAUGUUAGAACGUGAUCAUUUCUACGUAGUGGCGCGGGCGUGUAGGCCAGGGAGGCUGAGGCAGGAGACUCGCUUAAGCCCGGGAGGCGGAGGUUGCGGUGAGCCAAAAUCGCGCCACUGUAUUGCAGCCUGGGUGACAGCAAGAGCCUGUCUCAAAACAAAACAAAAGAAAACAAAAAAUUUAGUGUUUUUUUGGAAAGAAAAGCAAGAGCAGAGGACAAGCUCUAAAGCAAGAGAGUCUUGACUCAUUCGUUAGCUGCGUGAUCUUGACCUCUCAGAGCCUCAGCUUUCUUAUCUGCAAAACGGACACCUGUGAGCUUGGAUUAGGAUCUACCCUAACAGCCUCGUUUAAUUAAUCACCUCCUUAAAGGCCCUAUCUCCAAAUGUCGCAUCGUGAGGUACUGGGGGUUACAGCUUCAACAGGUAAUCUUUGUCCACCUGCCACGUCUGCUUUCCUGGGGAAAGCUCAUAGCCUUCUGCUGAGAAAAUCGCCUUGACAUAGAGAAAAUCAUCAUCCAAAAGGAAUUCAGCCCUCAUUGCAUGUUAGAUGCCUUCCUUGCCAAGGGCACUAAAUGUGCCAACAGAUGUCAAUGUGAUCUGGGAGGUCUCAUUUGCAUAGUGUGAGGCUCCAAGAAUAAUGGGGAUCCAGGCCUCCCAUCUUUCUCUCCAUGGAAGCUGGGAAGGUUCCAAGCUUCUAGCACAGCACUCGAGGUGGCCAGAGCUUUGUGGGAACCUGAGUAGAGUAUUUGGCCUGCAGAGUCUGGGCCUGUGGAAGUCCUCCAUCACCUGACUUCCUAUCUCUACCUUCUCUGUUUCGAACUGUCCCUGUCUGUCUGUCUGCAAAAUUAAAAGGUGGAUGUUUACCUCUCGAGAUUGUUGUUUGAGGAAGUGGAAUAGCACGCAUGAAAGGGCUUUGGGAUCUCUGUGAAGUGGGCUCUGCAAAGUAGGAGAGGGUGGGUUGAAUUUUCCAGAUGGCAGAAAUAAUAGUCCUCCGAGAGGUUAGGAGUCUCCAGUACUUUAGUGGUGGCCAGAUGUACCUAAUGAUGUGUCUGGUGGGAUCCCUUUGCAGCCAGGAGCUGAGUCAGUGGGUAAAGGGUAAAGUACUCAGGGAUGGGAUAAGCAAGCUACCUCCCUAACUUAGGGAAAAUGGAAUUUUACGAGGGGAAAUCACUUUUAUCUUUGUAACUGUUCUGCCCUCCACUAGGUGCUGUAUGCUGAGAGUGCUUGGGAGUGGGGAGUGUAUGAGUCCGUUUUCACCCUGCUGAUAAAGACAGACAUACCUGAGACUGGGAAGAAAAAGAGAUUUAAUUGGAAUUAUAGUUCCACAUGACUGGGGAGGCCUCAGAAUCAUGGUGGGAGGCAAAAGGCACGUCUUACAUGGUGGCGGCAGGAGAAAAUGAGGAGAUGCAAAGGUGGAAAUCCCUGAUAAAAUAAUCAGAUCUCGUGAGACUUAUCCACUACCACAAUAACAGCAUGGGGGAAUCCGUCCCUGUGCUUCAAAUGAUCUCCCACUGGGUUGCUCCCACAACACUUGGGAAUUAUGGAAGUACAAUUCAAGAUGAGAUUUAGGUGGGCACACAGCCAAAACGCAUCAGGGAGAUAGGGAAGGGCUGCUUUGAUCCCUGUUCUUUUUGGAAAUAGAAAGGGGGAUGUCUCAGCACUUGGGGAGAGAACAUGUGGACCAGGAAGAUUCUGGUUUCACAGAAUAGCGGGGAGGAUGCCACUGCAGGACAUUGCAGGUUCACCUCCCUGUACUUUUCUGGGUGUCCCAGCAUUAGAUGAAGGAGAGAGGCAGAGUCAUGUGGGGAAAGAGCCCUGGA